CUUUGCUGACUUCCUGAUUGUCUGUCAGCUUUUGGCUCUGUGGAAGUUCAGGUUUAUCAGAAUGACUUCCCUCUGGAGCAUCAUCUGAAUGUCCAUUGGCAUCACCAUUAUUCUCCCGCAGCUGAUCAUCUUCCAUGAAUUUUGUUCUUCUUCUGGAGCAGGUAUGGAAUCAAUGGAGUUUUCAGAUUUGUCAAGUACCACAGUUGUGUCAGAAGUUGCAUUUUCGUUGUUUGCUCCCACCACAAUGCUCUCGUCCUGGUGGCUGCUCUCUGAUGCAGUAGUGUUGUUGGAAUUUUCUUCUUCUGCUGUAGCUGGUAUGGAAUCACUGGAGUUUUCAGAUUUGUUAAGUACCACAGUGUCAGAAGUUGCAUUUUCGUUGUUUGCUCCCACUACAAUGCUGUCAUCCUGGUGGCUACUCUCUGAUGCAGUAGUGUUGUUGGGAUUUUCUUCUUCUGCUGUAGCAGGUAUGGAAUCACUGGAAUUUUCAGAUUUGUCAAGCUCAGCUUCUUUUUGCUGCAGGAUAGUUGUCAUCUGAUCAGGGUUUGACGCAGCUGCGUUCUCUUUCAUUUGGUUGAUAUGGCUCUCUUUCUCCACAAGAGCUGCUUCCAAUUCUUUCUGGGUGUUGGUAAGAUAUGUGGUGGUAGUUUCUGAAUCCAUGAGCUUGUUUUUCAGUUGUGCCCUCUCAAUACUUAGGACAGAUGUUUUGGCUUCCAGUUCGUCCACUUUCCGCCUCAUCUCUUUAUUAACUUCCUUUUCUUUCUGGCAAAAACGAGAUAGCAAUAUUUGAUCAAUGAGAUGUUCUUGAAUAGUGGGCCGGAUAAACAAUUCAUAGAGCACACUAACAGAAAAGGCAGAUAGAAAGCUCUAAAUGUGCACCAGCUAUGGCAGUUUACCAUCAACAAAUGAACCAUAUCUUCAUCGCAAUAUUAUUUACUUGCAGAAUAAUAGGAUAUUCAAUCGAAUGUAUCAACGUACUUGCAUUUAGAAAUUAGAUUCUGAUAUGAUGCCUCCAGCUUACAGUAUGUCUGCAAAUGGCAUCAAUAUGGAAGUCUUCUAAGGGGUGAUUUAUAUGAACUAUGAACUUAUGAAGGCAUGGUUCUAGAUUUGACAGUAUCCUCGUGGUCUGUGUGUGAAAGAUUCCACGUGUGCAAUACUGUAGCUUUGUUGUACCCGUACUUCUACUGAGUUCCUGUUUCCAAUUUGGGAAUCAUUAUGUUGUUUAAGAAAUCUGGGCAAUCUAAGGGCAGAAUACAAUGCGCCGAAUUGCUACUUUGAGGACACCAUAUUCCCUAUCAUGUAUCUAUGGUAUCAGCAUUUCAGUACAAUUGUCUUCAGUACAAGGUGGAACUAUGUUCUUCAGAACUUCAGAUGGAUGCUAUGAGAAUUAAUUUUCUAUUGCAGCUUAGAAAUCAGUGACUAAAAGGAGUAAACUCAACUGAUAGCUCAUUGCUCAAAAGUACUUUAUAAUUGAUCGUCCAGGGGAUGAAAAACUGGACAGCCAUAAUCUACUGGCAGAGUCAGUCAACAAAUAAAGAAGCAACUAGCUUCCAGAAAGACAAUUUUUUUAGGGAAGCAGAAAGACAAUUGUGAUGCAUGUAAACUCAUAUCCAUACCUCCAGGAGUACUUGGAGGAGGAUGAGCUGCUGGUCAUGUUCCUGGAGUAGGACGGCAAAAACACGGCGCUCCCUCAUCUUGUGCAAGAUGCCGACGCUCAGCGCGGCGGCGCUGAUGGCCAGCAGCACCAGCAGCAGGAUCUUAUGCUGUUUACUGCAGAACGGGACAACUGCUGUGGCAGCAGUGUGAAGAAACUGGAGCUUCCUUUUCAAUUGCUUGGGUUCUGGAAAGAGAAGUAAACUUGCUUGGGAAUGGAGGAACGAGACACUAGGAG